GAUGAACGCUGGCGGCGUGCCUAAUACAUGCAAGUCGAGCGAACAGACGAGGAGCUUGCUCCUCUGACGUUAGCGGCGGACGGGUGAGUAACACGUGGAUAACCUACCUCUAAGACUGGGAUAACUUCGGGAAACCGGAGCUAAUACCGGAUAAUAUAUUGAACCGCAUGGUUCAAUAGUGAAAGACGGUUUUGCUGUCACUUAUAGAUGGAUCCGCGCCGCAUUAGCUAGUUGGUAAGGUAACGGCUUACCAAGGCAACGAUGCGUAGCCGACCUGAGAGGGUGAUUGGCCACACUGUAACUGAGACACGGUCCAGACUCCUACGGGAGGCAGCAGUAGGGAAUCUUCCGCAAUGGGCGAGAGCUUGACGGAGCAACGCCGCGUGAGUGAUGAAGGUCUUCUGAUCGUAAAGCGCUGUUAUUAGGGAAGAACAAAUGUGUAAGUAACUAUGCACGUCUUGACGGUACCGAAUCAGAAAGCCACGGCUAACUACGUG
rnacentral:rRNA from 1 species